rnacentral:rRNA from 1 species
AUUGAACGCUGGCGGCAGGCCUAACACAUGCAAGUCGAACGAGUGGCGGACGGGUGAGUAAUGUCUGGGAAACUGCCCGAUGGAGGGGGAUAACUACUGGAAACGGUAGCUAAUACCGCAUACCAUCGGAUGUGCCCAGAUGGGAUUAGCUAGUAGGUGGGGUAACGGCUCACCUAGGCGACGAUCCCUAGCUGGUCUGAGAGGAUGCCCAGCCACCCUGGAACUGAGACACGGUCCAGACUCCUCCGUGAGGCAGCAGUGGGGAAUAUUGCACAAUUGGCGCAAGCCUGAUGCAGCCAUGCCGCGUGGAUGCAGAAGGCCUUCGGGUUGUAAAGUACUUUCAGCGGGGAGGCGUUACCCGCAGAAGAAGCACCGGCUAACUCCGUGCCAGCAGCCGCGGUAAUUC